GAUCUCGUAGCUCAGUUGGUAGAGCACAACACUUUUAAUGUUGGGGCCCUGGGUUCGAGUCCCAGCGGGAUCACAA
rnacentral:tRNA from 2 species